rnacentral:lncRNA from 1 species
GGGAUCAAGUCGCAUGCCAUUUUUGGAUUUGAUUGUUUGUAAAUUUUUUUUUAUCUCUAGAUUCUUAGUACAUACUCAUAUAUUUAAAAUUUAGAUUUUGUGUAUAGAAAUUAUUAAAAUAUUUAGAAAUCAAAAAGUUUGGAAAUAUGAAUUUUAUGCAUGAAAAGUAAUUUAAAAAUUAAGUAUCAAGCAUGGUGUCACCUUAGCAUGAUUACAAAAUCUGACAUGAGAUAAUUUCUUUUGUUUAAUGUUGCAUGAUUUUUAGAAACAAGAUUAUUCA